CGUAAGGCGCCGAAUGAGUCAUUAAAAAUUAACAUCAUCCGAUCCCUAGUCGGCAUAGUUUAUGGUUAAGACUACGACGGUAUCUGAUCGUCUUCGAUCCCCUAACUUUCGUUCUUGAUUAAUGAAAACAUCCUUGGCAAAAUGCUUUCGCAGUAGUUAGUCUUCAAUAAAUCCAAAGAAUUUCACCUCUGACAAUUGAAUACUAAUGCCCCCAACUAUCCCUAUUAAUCAUUACGUCAAUCCUAAGAAACCAACAAAAUAAGAUCGAACGUCCUAUUCAUUAUUCCAUGCUAAUGUAUUCAAGCGUUAGCCUG
rnacentral:rRNA from 1 species